CACUUAGCCUAAUAUUCUUUCUUUCCCAAAAAUUUUCAUUGACGCCGAAAAUUAACCAGAAGGAGUGAUCUCUCUUCCUCCAUCGGAACUAACAAAUGUAAAUCAAAUUUCGUUCAAUUCUUCUUCUGCAUCGAAGAGAUCGAUAACACUUUGGUGAAGAAAUGCAAUCUGAAGUUAGGUUUUUAAAAACUAAAUUCUUCGUCAAUCGCUUAUCAAAUGUAUUCUGAAUUUAGGUUUUGAAGAUUCACCUGAAAAAUUUGAUGAGAAUCGCUUUAGUCUCAAGAUUAAUUCAUUGAACGAGAUUGGAAAGAUAACUUUAAUCUCUCGUUAUCAUUUUAAUUCGUUUCUACUUGUUAAGUUAUCAAUUUCGGAAUUUGAUUUCAGAAAAAAAAUUGUUCAUGGAACUUUUUUUUUUUUUUAAAUUUCAAUGAGAGUCUCGAUUCGUAAUCAGAGCAAAUAUGUAUCGUUUUGAAUAUGAAUUAGCUUUUUGUUGAUGAUUGUUUCUCUUUCUGUAGGAAGCUUUGCUGUGGUUGAUGAAAGAGGGAGAGAGGAAGCUAUUGAGCUAAUGUAUUGGACACGACACACCGACACCGUGUCCGUGUCCUUGUAACACAGCUGAUUUCAGAUCGUUCACUGGAGAAGUCACUUGAAAGUUCCAUGAAGUGGCAAGGUUUACACCUGAAGAAGGAAUCUCAUCUGUAGAUUGUUAUGUGAUGUUGACCAGACAUUAGGUAUUGGAGGGGCAGAUCAAAUGAAAUUGUAGGAAGCUUUAUUGUGGUUGAUGAAAGAGGGAGAGAAGAAGCUAUUGAGGCCAUAGUAGUCAGAGGAAGAAGAACUAGUUAGGUGGAUGGGGAUGGACUGUUUCAACGGGUUGAUGGGACCAAUGCUGGACGUGGUACUUAUCGGCUUGCUUGUUUGAAUCGCCGAUGGUUGGCGUGUCCGCUUGAACUAAAUAGACUUUUUCUGGCAUCGCAGGUACUGAGAUUUUCCUCACUGGUUAUUAGGUGUGUAAUUUUGUAUUUGUAUUUUCAUGUAUGUGCAUCGUAUGAAGAAGCAGAUUGGAUUAGGUGUGUAAUUUUAUAUUUAUAUUUUUAUUUUUAUUUUCAUGUA